UACGUAGGGGGCGAGCGUUGUCCGGAGUACUGGGCGUAAAGCGCACGCAGGCGGUCUGCUAAGUUUGGAGUGACAGUUGGUGGCUUAACUGCCAAAGUGCUUCGAAAACUGACAGACUUGAGGGCUUCAGAGGGACACGGAAUUCCGGGUGGAGUGGUGAAAUGCGUAGAUAUCGGGAAGAACACCAAAGGCGAAAGCGCUCUGCUGGGCCGAAACUGACACUGAGAGACGAAAGCUAGGGGAGCGAAUGGG
rnacentral:rRNA from 1 species